CAGCCGCCGCGGUAAAACAGAGGGUGCGAGCGUUAAUCGGAUUUACUGGGCGUAAAGCGUGCGUAGGCGGCUUCUUAAGUCGGAUGUGAAAUCCCUGAGCUUAACUUAGGAAUUGCAUUCGAUACUGGGAAGCUAGAGUAUGGGAGAGGAUGGUAGAAUUCCAGGUGUAGCGGUGAAAUGCGUAGAGAUCUGGAGGAAUACCGAUGGCGAAGGCAGCCAUCUGGCCUAAUACUGACGCUGAGGUACGAAAGCAUGGGGAGCAAACAGGAUUAGAUACCCCAGUAGUCCGUCUCUUAUACAC
rnacentral:rRNA from 1 species